GGACAGAAUGACAGCAUGGUUAUAUCAAUGGUCCAAUUCUUGGUUCCAACCCUUGAUUGUCCUUUGAGAGCACCACCCAUUCCUUACAACACAUCUCUCCGCUUCAUUUUGGGAGUUUUGAAGUUAUUAAAGUUAUUGAUUUCUUUUCCUUACAACCAAAAUAAUCUAAAUUAAGAUUGUGGCCAAGCUUGGAUUAAAACCUGCCUCCCGGCUCCAAGACCCAUGUUUUUCUAUCAUGCUGACUGGCAGCAAAGACGUCUUCCCAUGGAUUUUUCAGAACUCUGUUCUUUAAAUGUGACCUUGGAUACACCAAACUCAUGCCAUCCAAAGGUUGGAGGAGUGCAGGUGAGCUGGGGUGAACUCACGUUCACAUUGGCUACAAGUAGCUCUCAUUUGGGGACUCAGGCUGAAGAGACAACAGCUUACUGGGAACAUGCUCUCCUAUGGCAAAUGGCAGGACCGCAAGAUGCCAAACUAAACCAUAAAAGCACAUUAAAAACCUCCAUUUGUGGCCAGGCGCAGUGGCUCACGCCUGUAAUCCCAGCACUUUGGGAGGCUGAAGCAGGCAGAUCACGAGGUCAGGAGUUCAAGACCAGCCUGGACAACACAGUGAAACCCCUUCUCUACUAAAAAUACAAAAAUUAGCCAGGUGUGGUGGCACACCUCUGUAGUCCCAGCUACCCAGGAGUCUGAGGCAGGAGAAUUGCUUAAACCCGGGAGGCGGAGGUUGCAGUAAGCCGAGUGAGACUCCGUCUCAAAACAACAAGAACAACAAAAAAAUCCUCCUUUUGCAUCACAUUCUUUAGCAUUUGCCCAGUUAAAUUCCAUUAGGCCAAACCCCAAGUCAAUGGGAUGGGGAUAUAUUCUCCAUCUACUCUGUACAUCAAAGGGUUUGAAUGUAUAGUCCUAUAUAGUCCUGGAGUAAAGAAUUGGGAGUGAUAAUUCAACCAUACCAUGAAUAGAAGAAUGGAUCAAUAAACUGUGGUGUAGUCAUACAAUGAAAUAUUACACAGCAAUGAAAACAAAUGGCCUAGAUCGGCAAACUAUGGCCCAUGGACCAAAUCCAGCUUGCUGCCUGUUUUUGUAAACGAGGUUGUAUUGGAAUGUGGCCACAUUCAUUCAUUUACAUAUUGUCUGUAUCUGCUUUCGCACUGUAAUGACAGAGUUGAGCAGCUGCAACAGACUGUUGGGCCCACAAAGCUUAAAAUAUGAACAAUCUGUCCCUUUCCAGAAAACUUUACCGAGCUCUGAUCUAGAUCUACGCAUAUCAACAUGGAUAAAUCUCACAAACAUAAUGUUACAUGAAAAGACAAGUUGCAGAGGAAUGUAAACCAGAGGAUCCCAUUCACUUAAAGUUCAAAAACAUUCAAAAUAUUCAAAACGGUGCUACAUACUGCUUGUCUUAGUCCCUUUGUGCUGCGAUAACAGAAUACCACAGACUGGGGAAUUUAAGAAAAGAAAUGUAUUGGCUUGCAGUCCUGGAGGCUGGGAAAUCCAAUAUGAAGAUGCCAGCAGAUUUGGUGGUUCUGAUUUCAAGAUGGCGCCUUGAAUGCUGUGACCUCCAGAGGCGAGGAAGGCUUAGUCUUUGCAUGGUGAAAAGUGGAAUGGCAAAAGAGAGCCAGAGGGCGUUGAAUCUGCCCUUUUAUAAUGGCAUGAACCCACACAUGAGGGUGGAGCCCUCAUGGCCCAAUCACCCCUUAAAGAUCCCACCUCUUAAUAUCGUUACAAUGGUAAUUAAUUUUUCAACAUGAGUUUUGGAGGAGACAAAUAUUCAAACCACAGCACGGCUAACUUUCAAACUUGUGCUGUACUAAUGGUAAAUAUAAAAAGCAAGAUAGUGACGGCCCCAGUCACUGGAGAGAUAGAUGUGCCUGGGGCAGGUGCCCGGGGGGGCUCUAUUGCAUGGGUAAUGUUUUCUUUCUUAAGCUGGGUGGAGAUGGUAGUGCAUGGGGAUUAAUUUUAUUGUUAUUUAUACCUUUUAUGUCGGUCCUAAAUAUUUAUAAUAUUAAUAGAAAAAAAAGUUAGAAGAGGUAGGAGAACACAGAGGUAGGGGAAGGGUGUUCCAGGCCCAGGCUCCAGGUUGCAAGGGUGGAGGCAUGAGAAAGACGAGGCAUGGCGUGCACAGGGAGGAGGGAAUGGAGAGAGGAGACUGGGAGGACAGCUGGGUCUUUGGGCCAUUCUAAGGAGUCUGAUUUCAUACCUUGGCCAAGGGAACCCCUUGGGCAGCUCUGCGCUUUUGCACCAUCGUGAUCAGAUUUGCGUUUGAGAACAGUCAGCCUGGUUGCAAUAGGGAGGGUGGUGGGGAGCAGGGCUGCAACACGACCGUAGAGGGAACACCUCCUUAACAUUUGUCCCUGAGGUGCCUCACUCUCUCACCCUACUCCUGGCCCUGGCAUGCCCUCCCUCCUGAAGCCUACAUGGCUCCCUCCAUCCCCUCCUUCCAGUCUUCACUCAAAAGUUGCCUUCUCCACGAGGCCCUCCCUGGCUACUGUCUUUAAAUUGAAUCCCCUCUGAAUUUCCCUUAUUCCCCUUGCUUUUUCUCGAUAGCAUUUCCUGUAUAUUUUGCUUAUUUGUUUUGCUUAUUGUCUUCCUCUACUAGAAUGUAGCUCCUUCUCCUCACUGAUGGAUCCCCAGGGCCUAGCGUAGUGAAGGAUAAUAGGAAAUGUUCACUAAAUAUUUGCUGAAUGAAUGAAUUUAUAGGAACUCCAGAACUGACAGGAAGAUGUCACUUUCUCUUGCUGAUCUCAGCCGCCUGGAGGAUGAAAGCAGCUGUCUGGCCUGAUUCAGGGAUGGGGCUUGGCUCAGAGGAGGCAAAAGAAAGUCAGCAAGAUGGGCGAGGGCUUUGAGAGGCUCCUCUGGGGUGAGGUCUCCAUGUCUUUGGUUAUCAACACACAUGGUGUGGUGUGGAAGAGCAUGGACCCCAGGACUUAUAUCCAGCCCUUCCCGGCCAGCUCUCGCUGGUGGAGAGAGGGCUACCCCCUGCCCACCUCCCUCCUCUGCCAUGUUCCUGCUCCCAGCACCUGCCUUUACCUGGGCGACUCCUGUCAUGGAAUUCUGACCUCUCCAGUCCUGCUUAGCUAAACUCCCUCCCUCGUCCGACCAAUUUCCCCCUUUUUUGGAUUCCUAUACACUGAAACCUGUACUGUUCCACUCAGCCCAACGAUGAAUGCAGCCUCAUAGAGUUCUCA